GGAGAGGAGUCCAGGUUUAGUGAUAAGAUGUCCUAAUCCAAGCAAAAUUCCUGAUGCCAGCAUGAAUCUUCCCUCUAGCUGAAAAACAUCCACUCAUACCAAGUCGUGUUCACUGACAGUGUAACAGCUCACCCAUGAUCUCCAGAAGACAAGGUUACUGGAUCACACCACUGUUUUGAUUGCUCCAGAUG